ensembl:ncRNA ZK617.21 ncRNA
UAAAAUGUUCUGUUUCAAAAAAAAUUGAAUUAUCUUAAUUUGUCCAAACAAUUUCUAUCAUUGGGAUCUAUGGGAAAAUCAAAAUUAACUGGGUUACAUUCGGCCAAACUUUGACAUUUUUGUGUCAAACUUUGGCAACUU